rnacentral:lncRNA from 1 species
CAUUUUGAUUUCGCCCCUUGGAGAGAGUCACUUUCUCUCUCCCUGAACUCCCUCUGCUCCUAAGAGCCUAAGACCCAUCCUCGUCGUCACCACCUCUUUCUUCCUCAGCACCGUGACAGCAAUAACGCUGCCCCCUCCAGCCAUCGUCAUGCUCAAACCCACCGCGAACCACCGUGGAUCUCUCCUCGUAACAAAUCGUCGGAGCCAUCACUGUGGUUUUAGAUCUGGUGCUUGUCGUUUCAAAUCUGGUGUCUGUCGACAAUGAGGACUGCGACUUCCUCUGUGGGUCUCUUCACCACCACCACCAGCACCACGAACAUUCAUUUUCUUCGUCUGAGCCGCAGCACGCCGUUAUUCCAAACACGGCGUGGCGGAGCUCCUUCUGGUCCUCGAGGUUGAGACGAGCGAGCUUGAGCGUGUAAACGACGUAGGUGACGAUGUUUUCUGGUGUUGGGUUAAAACAGGUUAAAUAUUUUGCUGUUGGAUUAAAAUUUUGUGCAUAUUAGAAACCUUUUCAAAAUCCAAAAUCACGUAGAGUUGUGCUUGGUUUGUUGAUUAAGUCACUCUUCAAUGUUUAAUAGGUCUGUGUGUUUAUAGUGUAUUGUGUUGAUGUGUUGUUAGAAAACAUUUGGAUUUUUAAUUAUUCAAGAUGUAAC